rnacentral:misc_RNA from 1 species
GGGACUACCAGGGUUUCUAAUCCCGUUUGCUCCCCUGGCUUUCGCGCCUCAGCGUCAGUGUCAGCCCAGCAACCCGUCUUCACCUCAGGUGUUCCUCUUGAUAUCUACGCAUUUCACCGCUACACCAAGAAUUCCGAUUGCCCCUUCUGCACUCUAGCAAAGCAGUAUCAUCUGACCGUUCCGAGUUAAGCCCGGAGAUUUCACAGAUGACUUGAAUUGCCGCCUACGCGCCCUUUACGCCCAGUAAAUCCGAACAACGCUUGGUCCCUACGUAUUACCGCGGCUGCUGGCACGC